GAUGAACGCUGGCGGCGUGCCUAAUACAUGCAAGUCGAGCGAACAGACGAGGAGCUUGCUCCUCUGACGUUAGCGGCGGACGGGUGAGUAACACGUGGAUAACCUACCUAUAAGACUGGGAUAACUUCGGGAAACCGGAGCUAAUACCGGAUAAUAUAUUGAACCGCAUGGUUCAAUAGUGAAAGACGGUUUUGCUGUCACUUAUAGAUGGAUCCGCGCCGCAUUAGCUAGUUGGUAAGGUAACGGCUUACCAAGGCAACGAUGCGUAGCCGACCUGAGAGGGUGAUCGGCCACACUGGAACUGAGACACGGUCCAGACUCCUACGGGAGGCAGCAGUAGGGAAUCUUACGCAAUGGGCGAAAGCUUGACGGAGCGACGCCGCGUGAGUGAUGAAGGUCUUCGGAUCGUAAAACUCUGUUAUUAGGGAAGAACAAAUGUGUAAGUAACUAUGCACGUCUUGACGGUACCUAAUCAGAAAGCAACGGCUAACUACGUG
rnacentral:rRNA from 1 species